rnacentral:lncRNA from 1 species
GAUAAUAGUUAACAGUUAUGCCAAACUGUAGUUAAUGCACGAUCGGUGCAAUUGCUGCCGUGUAUUGCCCGUGUGGGAUGGUUACUACAUUGUUAAUGCACGACCAAUCUAUACCACGUAAUUGGGUAGUUCUAUAUACACCCCCCUAUUGCUCAGGACACCCCCCAAAAACCAAAAAAAAAUACCCAAACUAACCUUUAGUGUAAUUACCAUAUUGCCCUUGAAAUUUUCUCAUACACCCCCCCCUUCCUCCUCCUCCGUUUCGUUUUGAAAAGAAAAAAAAACACCCCUCAAACCCCCCUUAAACCCCUCGAUCCAUUUACAUCAUUUAGGCGAUCUUUGAAGGAGAUUUAAGCCCCAUUCGAAGCAUGGACAAGCAACUAGUGAUUUGGGACGAAGAAUCGGCUGCAAAGGUACGUGUUCCACCUUGUUUCGAUUUUUUUUUUUUUCACGGUUCGUGCUCCGUUCGGCACUGGAUCGCCGAACAAAAGGCUUCUGUUCGGCUGAACAGUGCCGAACAGAAGCCUUCUGUUCGGCAACCCUCAACCGAACAGAUCUGUUCGGCU